AACUGGGGAACCAGGCUGCACAGCAGGAGGUGAUUCCGUUCCUGGUUGGCAGGGGCGGGGAAACAACCUCUAGCCUGUUUGCUUCCCUGUUACGACCUCCCUUUGGCAUUUUUGAACGUGUGACUGAGCCAUGGCUCUGCCGUGAGGACACUUGGAUUCCCGGUCAGGCUAAGUCAGCUGCUUCUCUGGGCCAAGGAAGCAAAUAAAACCGACUGUUUUGAAAAACAGCCUACAUGUCCACAAAGAAGAAAUGGUUAAAUGAGAGAUGGUAUGUCCACACGUGGAAAUCCAUGCAGUUGUUUAAAAUGAUGAGAUAGAUUUGUUUGUGCUGACAGAAGAGGCUCUCCAAGACAUGUUACUGAGUGAAAAAAAAAAUCAAGUAUCAAAUGAACACUCAGUAAGAC